CAGCCCCUGGGGCAGGGGGACAUGGAGCACCAGGAGCUGGUGGCCGCUCGGUGGCCACGGCGGGAGGACAAGCCGAGUCCCCGGUGAGCUGCAGUCUUGCCAGGGGGGCAGGUCCCAGUACCCCUCUCCCUGUGGUCCCUUCUGAAGAGCUGCCUUAGGACAAGGCAUUCCAGGAUGGCUGAAGAGGGAAUGUGUGGACCCAGGCAGAAGUGAAAUCUGUGCCACCACGCCUCAGCUGAGCUCUGUAGGGCUGAACCGCCCAUGCCUGUAGAGCAUGAAGUGUUGAGAAGGUCCUGCAAAGUCCCACCCGUGCGUGGUCCCCUCCAAGGGGAGCAGAGGGUGACAGAUGUACCCAAAGGAAGACAAAACACGAGCGCCAUGGUCAGGCUAAGGUAAUAAAUACUUCUAUUCAUGGAGAACAAUGCAGCAGUGCAAUGUUUUAUUUAAAAAAAAAAAAAAAAUCAUCUCACUUGAUACCUCAGAAGACUGCAUCGCAACGUUGGUGGGCCGAGAGCGGCGUCAGAGGCACCUGCACCAGGAGCCCCUGAGAACCCUCCUCGUGCCUGGGCUCUCCUGGCUGCUGACUGCUCCCGGCACCGAGGGGAGAGAUUGCCCAGGUUAAUGCCCUACAUCCUACCACAGCAUGGCUGGCUCAGUCUGCCUUCGUCUCCUUGUCACCUCCGAGCUCCCUGGGGACAGCUCUUCCCUCAAGCACAGGACUUGCUGGCAACCUGCUUGCUUUUCUUUUCUCUUUUUUUUAAUUUCUUUUGUUAAAAAG